rnacentral:rRNA from 1 species
UACGUAGGGGGCGAGCGUUGUCCGGAUUUAUUGGGCGUAAAGAGCGUGUAGGCGGCCAGGUAGGUCUGCUGUGAAAACUCGAGGCUCAACCUCGAGCUGUCGGCGGAAACCAUUUGGCUAGAGUCCGGAAGAGGAAAGUGGAAUUCCUGGUGUAGCGGUGAAAUGCGCAGAUAUCGGGAGGAACACCAGUGGCGAAGGCGACUACCUGGCCUGUUCUUGACGCUGAGGCGCGAAAGCUAGGGGAGCAAACGGG